rnacentral:rRNA from 1 species
CCUACGGGGGGCUGCAGUGGGGAAUAUUGGACAAUGGGCGAAAGCCUGAUCCAGCCAUGCCGCGUGUGUGAAGAAGGCCUUCGGGUUGUAAAGCACUUUCAGUGGGGAAGAAAGCCUUGGGGCUAAUACCCUCGAGGAAGGACAUCACCCACAGAAGAAGCACCGGCUAACUCCGUGCCAGCAGCCGCGGUAAUACGGAGGGUGCGAGCGUUAAUCGGAAUUACUGGGCGUAAAGCGCGCGUAGGCGGUCUGAUAAGCCGGUUGUGAAAGCCCCGGGCUCAACCUGGGAACGGCAUCCGGAACUGUCAGGAUAGAGUGCAGGAGAGGAAGGUAGAAUUCCCGGUGUAGCGGUGAAAUGCGUAGAGAUCGGGAGGAAUACCAGUGGCGAAGGCGGCCUUCUGGACUGACACUGACGCUGAGGUGCGAAAGCGUGGGUAGCAAACAGGAUUAGAUACUCUAGUAGUC